CUGCGAUAAAAACAAUUACUAUACAUUUUGCCUACAAAUACAAACAUUCAUUGUUACUAUUUUGGACUUUAAAACUGCCCAAGCAAAUUAUGUUGUUUGGAUCGCCUGUGGGAGACUAAGAGGACAUCCGAAAUGUAUGUCACUAUGUGGUAUAUUUACUAUAUUGUCUGUGUCUGACAGUAUCGACAGUGCUACGCACAUUGUAUAAACUUGUUAGAAUCUUUACUUUGCUAACAUAAGUCAAUGAAGAGAAGCGAAGACAAUUCAUCUGUUGGAAAAUUAAUGUAAUAUAAUUUAAUACUGUAUAUUUUUUAUAUACUAUUGCAGUAUUGCCUAUGCACUGUAUGGCAGUUUUCUAUUAGGGUGUGCUAAUCACUAAAAUUUAGGUGUGCAAGUGUGUAAUCCUGUCUACAAUUUAUUCAAGCAUGCAGUGUGUACUAUUAAAGUUGGUAUUGAUGUAAAAAAUUGAC